rnacentral:lncRNA from 1 species
CUCACCACCCCAGGAAUACACCAUACUUUCCCUUUGAGGCCUUUAAACAUGCUCCCUGAAAUGUCCACCUCAACUGGAGUCCUGAUUCCCUCCUUCUGCCUCACCUGCCAUCCAGGCCAGAUUUCCUUGUCCUCUGGGAAGCCUCCUUCCCUGGCUCCUCCAGGCCAGGGGCCCAUUUUAACGCUCACAAAGCCUGCCACACUUAACCUCAUCAUAAACUCAUGUCUCUUGGAAUCUAAACUCCCUGUUAACUCCCAGCACCUAGCUUGGAUGUUGGCACUUAGUACACUUUAAUGAAUAAAUGGAUAUAAAGGAAGUGCUCAAAAUGAGUAGGAAGUUACAGGGAGCCUUGGGAUUUACAAGGUUUUACCAGA